GACGAACGCUGGCGGCGUGCUUAACACAUGCAAGUCGAACGGAAAGGCCCUGCUAUUGUGGGGUGCUCGAGUGGCGAACGGGUGAGUAACACGUGAGUAACCUGCCCUUGACUUUGGGAUAACUUCAGGAAACUGGGGCUAAUACCGGAUAGGAGCUCCUGCUGCAUGGUGGGGGUUGGAAAGUUUCGGCGGUUGGGGAUGGACUCGCGGCUUAUCAGCUUGUUGGUGGGGUAGUGGCUUACCAAGGCUUUGACGGGUAGCCGGCCUGAGAGGGUGACCGGCCACAUUGGGACUGAGAUACGGCCCAGACUCCUACGGGAGGCAGCAGUGGGGAAUAUUGCACAAUGGGCGGAAGCCUGAUGCAGCAACGCCGCGUGCGGGAUGACGGCCUUCGGGUUGUAAACCGCUUUCGCCUGUGACGAAGCGUGAGGGACGGUAAUGGGUAAAGAAGCACCGGCUAACUACGU
rnacentral:rRNA from 1 species